UAUAUUUAAGCCACGUGAUGUUUAUUAAUAUGUGUUAUGUAAAUAUACAACUGUUGUCAGAAAAUAAUUCUGGGUAUAUAUUUAUAUAAAUAAACAAUAAAAAAAAGUUUUUGGGGGGCCAUUUUACUCAAACACGUUGCAUAGCAUUUAAUAAUUUUUACAUUUGUUUUGUCAUUUAGUGAGACUGAACCAAGAUCCUUAAUUUGACAGGACUCUUUAAUGUUAAAUGAACACUCCAAGCACCAUAACCACCACAGCUUGCAAUAUUUGCACAUCCCACUGUUUUAGAUCAGUUUGACCUAUUACUGGGGGUCUGCUGGGCCCCCCCCCACCUCCUAUGUUUACGACAGAGAGCCAGAAGCUCCUAAGCAUGAGGUUCCGUUGGCUUUCCUGAGAUAAUUAUUGGCUGAGAGUGCCAGUAGGAGCAUGGGAGCUACACUCAGCAGACUGUAGGCAAGAAGUCAAACCAUUCUAAAAAGGUUUAGAUUCAUAACAGGGAGGAGCCAGUUCACUUCUAACACCAUAACCACUACAGCAAGGUCCACCUAACUUUAUAGGUGGACCUAGCAAACCUUUAAUGAUGUGCUUGCUCUGUACUUGCUGUAAGCAAGUCUUUGGUAUUUCCAGAUAUGGAAUAACUGAGAACCAGUCUGGAACAUUGGGAUAUGAGCUUGAAAUUAGGAUGGUCCCCCGGUCCGGUGGCUGCCUGUGCCCCAGAAGUUUUUGUGAAUAUCCAAGGAAUACUUUCACUAUGCAUAGGAUGAGGCAGAAGCAUCAGUGAUGCCCACUGAUUAUCAAAGAUAAAGAACACAGUAAUGAACAGUUAAAUCCGAGCUGCUGGGUCUCCUUACUGUAGUUCCAACAGUGUAACAAGCAGGUAGACAAAAAAUGGAGUUCUGCGCAUCAAGUAGGUAGUGCACACCCAGGUGCUACUGCAGUUUAUUAGAGGACACAAUAUAAACAAACGUUUCGGGCAACAAACCCUUCCUCACACACAUUUCCACUGACGAAGGGCUUGUUGCC